GUGCACACCACACACAUACAGGGCAGGGCUGGCCACGCUUUUCCACAAAUCCAGUUUCCGAAGAAGAAUAAUGAGAUGCUCCACGGUCCCCUCAGAAGAAGGGUUGCUAAAAAGCAACAAGACUCUAGUGAGUGAAGUCUCUGAGCUGGUGCUGAUCUCGGGGAAGGCGAAUGUGGAUGAAAGCAUCAAUUUUGCAGCAGCCAUGGCUUGUCCUAUGAGAGAUGAUUCUACCACAAGAACCCAACCACAAGGACGGCUCCUCUUUGAAGUUUUUACAGUCGAUCUCUGGAUCAGCCAGCGAAGUCCUGCUCCCAGGAUCCAGGGAGAGACCAUGGGUGCCCUCUAGGGCAUGGUACAAAGGGAGGAUUUGUUCCAGUAGAGAAUAGAAUAGGCCUUUUCUUUCACCUUUUGGUUUCCAGGUGCUGAACUACAUGUAGGAGUCUUGGUAGUAAAACCAAGCUUAAUGGUUAUUGAAAUAGAACUACCAGAGAGGUGGUAGAAGCACAUGUUUUGUACAAGUUGGUUAACUGCCAGCAGCUUUGAAUCGUGUAACUGCUUACAAAAAAUUUCACAUGGUCCAGGAAUAAGAGGAAACAAAUGUAUGAAAAACAAAUUCCCAGAUACUUACAUUUAAAAUAAAAAGCAAAC
rnacentral:lncRNA from 1 species